UGCCAGCCGCUGCGGUAACACGGGGGGCGCAAGCGUUAUUCGGAAUUAUUGGGCGUAAAGGGCGCGCAGGCGGUCUUGUCCGUCAGGUGUGAAAUCUCGGGGCUCAACCCCGAAACUGCCAUUGAUACUGAUAAACUUGAGUUCAGUUGGAGUAGGCGGAAUGUGUAGUGUAGCGGUGAAAUGCUUAGAUAUUACACAGAACACCGAUAGCGAAGGCAGCUUACUAAACUGAUACUGACGCUGAGGCACGAAAGCGUGGGGAGCGAACAGGAUUAGAUA
rnacentral:rRNA from 1 species